ACGCUGGCGGCGUGCUUAACACAUGCAAGUCGAACGAUGAUGCGGUGCUUGCACCGUUGAUUAGUGGCGAACGGGUGAGUAACACGUGAGUAACCUGCCCUCUUCUUUGGGAUAACGGUCUGAAAGGGCUGCUAAUACCGAAUAUUCACAUGUCUUCGCAUGGGGGUGUGUGGAAAGAGAUGCUUUUGGGUGUUUUUGGUGGGGGAUGGGCUCGCGGCCUAUCAGCUUGUUGGUGGGGUAGUGGCCUACCAAGGCUUUGACGGGUAACCGGCCUGAGAGGGUGACCGGUCACAUUGGGAUUGAGAUACGGCCCAGACUCCUACGGGAGGCAGCAGUGGGGAAUUUUGCACAAUGGACGCAAGUCUGAUGCAGCGACGCCGCGUGAGGGAUGUAGGCCUUCGGGUUGUGAACCUCUUUCGCUCAUGGUCAAGCCGCAGUUUUGGGUUGUGGUGAGGGUAGUGGGUAAAGAAGCGCCGGCUAACUACGUGCCAGCAGCCGCGGUAAUACGUAGGGCGCGAGCGUUGUCCGGAAUUAUUGGGCGUAAAGGGCUUGUAGGCGGUUGGUCGCGUCUGCCGUGAAAUCCUCUGGCUUAACUGGGGGCGUGCGGUGGGUACGGGCUGGCUUGAGUGCGGUAGGGGAGACUGGAAUUCCUGGUGUAGCGGUGGAAUGCGCAGAUAUCAGGAGGAACACCGGUGGCGAAGGCGGGUCUCUGGGCCGUUACUGACGCUGAGGAGCGAAAGCGUGGGGAGCGAACAGGAUUAGAUACCCUGGUAGUCCACGCUGUAAACGUUGGGCACUAGGUGUGGGGGCCACCCGUGUUUUCUGCGCCGUAGCUAACGCUUUAAGUGCCCCGCCUGGGGAGUACGGCCGCAAGGCUAAAACUCAAAGGAAUUGACGGGGGCCCGCACA
rnacentral:rRNA from 1 species